rnacentral:rRNA from 1 species
GACGAACGCUGGCGGCGUGCUUAACACAUGCAAGUCGAACGGAAAGGCCCUGCUUUUGUGGGGUGCUCGAGUGGCGAACGGGUGAGUAACACGUGAGUAACCUGCUCUUGACUUUGGGAUAACUUCAGGAAACUGGGGCUAAUACCGUAUCGGAUCUCCUGCUGCAUGGUGGGGGUUGGAACUUUUAGGCUGUUGGGGCUGGAUUGGCGGCUUACCAGCUUGUUGGUGGGGUAGUGGCUUACCCAGGCUUUGACGGGUCGCCGGCCUGGGAGGGUGGACGGCCACAUUAGGACUAAGAUACGGCCCAGAGUGCUACGGGAGGCAGCAGUGGGGAGUAUUGCACAGUGGGCGGGAGCCUGAUGCGGCAGCGCCGGGGGCGGGAUGACGGCCUUCGGGUUGUAAACCGCUUUCGCCUGUGACGAAGCGGGAGUGACGGUAAUGGAUAAAGAAGCACCGGCUAACUACGUG